rnacentral:rRNA from 1 species
CCUACGGGGGGCAGCAGUAGGGAAUCUUCCACAAUGGGCGAAAGCCUGAUGGAGCAACGCCGCGUGGGUGAAGAAGGUCUUCGGAUCGUAAAACUCUGUUGUUAGAGAAGAACGUGCGUGAGAGUAACUGUUCACGUUUCGACGGUAUCUAACCAGAAAGCCACGGCUAACUACGUGCCAGCAGCCGCGGUAAUACGUAGGUGGCAAGCGUUAUCCGGAUUUAUUGGGCGUAAAGGGAACGCAGGCGGUCUUUUAAGUCUGAUGUGAAAGCCUUCGGCUUAACCGGAGUAGUGCAUUGGAAACUGGGAGACUUGAGUGCAGAAGAGGAGAGUGGAAUUCCAUGUGUAGCGGUGAAAUGCGUAGAUAUAUGGAAGAACACCAGUGGCGAAAGCGGCUCUCUGGUCUGUAACUGACGCUGAGGUUCGAAAGCGUGGGUAGCAAACAGGAUUAGAUACCCUAGUAGUC